UAACAGGGUGUAUGGUGGUGUGUAACAGGGUGUAUGGUGUGUAACAGGGUGUAUGGUGGUGUGCAACUGGGUGUAUGGUGGUGUGCAACAGGGUGUAUGGUGGUGUGCAACAGGGUGUUUGGUGUGUAACAGGGUGUAUGGUGGUGUGUAACAGGGUGUAUGGUGGUGUGCAACUGGGUGUAUGGUGGUGUGUAACAGGGUGUAUGGUGGUGUGCAACAUGGUGUUUGGUGUGUAACAGGGUGUUUGGUGUGUAACAGGGUGUAUGGUGGUGUGCAACAGGGUGUAUGGUGGUGUGUAACAGGGUGUAUGGUGGUGUGCAACUGGGUGUAUGGUGGUGUGCAACUGGGUGUAUGGUGGUGUGUAACAGGGUGUAUAGUGGUGUGUAACAGGGUGUAUAGUGGUGUGCAACAGGGUGUAUGGUGGUGUGCAACUGGGUGUAUGGUGGUGUGCAACUGGGUGUAUGGUGGUGUGCAACAGGGUGUAUGGUGGUGUGUAACAGGGUGUGUAACAUGGUGUGUAACAGGGUGUGUAACGUGGUGUAUGGUGGUGUGUAACAGGGUGUAUGGUGGUGUGCAACAGGGUGUAUGGUGGUGUGUAACAGGGUGUAUGGUGGUGUGUAACAGGGUGUUUGGUGGUGUGUAACAGGGUGUAUGAGGGUGUGUAACAGGGUGUAUGGUGGUGUGUAACAGGGUGUAUGGUGUUGUGUAACAGGGUGUUUGGUGGUGUGUAACAGGGUGUAUGGUGGUGUGUAACAGGGUGUUUGGUGGUGUGCAACAGGGUGUAUGGUGGUGUGUAACAGGGUGUUUGGUGGUGUGUAACAGGGUGUAUGGUGGUGUGUAACAGGGUGUGUAACAUGGUGUUUGGUGGUGUGCAACAGGGUGUUUGGUGUGUAAACAGGGUGUGCAACAGGGUGUAUGGUGGUGUGCAACAGGGUGUAUAGUGGUGUGCAACAGGGUGUUUGGUGUGUAACAGGGUGUAUGGUGGUGUGCAACAGGGUGUGUAACGGUGUAUGGUGGUGUGCAACUGGGUGUAUGGUGGUGUGUAACAGGGUGUUUGGUGUGUAACGUGCAACAGGGUGUAUGGUGUGCAUCAGGGUGUAUGGUGGUGUUUAGUGGUGUGUAACAGGGUGUUUGGUGGUGUGUAACAGGGUGUUUGGUGUGUAACAGGGUGUUUGGUGGUGUGUAACGGUGUAUGGUGGUGUGUAACAGGGUGUAUGGUGGUGUGUAACAUGGUGUUUGGUGUGUAACAGGGUGUAUGGUGGUGUGUAACAGGGUGUAUGGUGGUGUGCAACAGGGUGUAUGGUGGUGUGCAACUGGGUGUAUGGUGGUGUGUAACAGGGUGUAUGGUGGUGUGCAACAUGGUGUUUGGUGUGUAACAGGGUGUAUGGUGGUGUGCAACAGGGUGUAUGGUGGUGUGUAACAGGGUGUAUGGUGGUGUGCAACAGGGUGUUUGGUGUGUAACAUGGUGUAUGGUGGUGUGCAACUGGGUGUAUGGUGGUGUGCAACAGGGUGUAUGGUGGUGUGCAACAGGGUGUAUGGUGGUGUGCAACUGGGUGUUUGGUGUGUAACGGUGUGUAACGUGCAACAGGGUGUAUGGUGGUGUGUAACAUGGUGUGCAUCAGGGUGUAUGGUGUGUAACAGGGUGUGUAACAGGGUGUUUGGUGGUGUGUAACAGGGUGUAUGGUGGUGUGCAACUGGGUGUAUGGUGGUGUGCAACAGGGUGUUUGGUGUGUAACAGGGUGUAUGGUGGUGUGCAACUGGGUGUAUGGUGGUGUGUAACAGGGUGUAUGGUGGUGUGUAACAGGGUGUAUGGUGGUGUGUAACAGGGUGUGUAACAGGGUGUGUAACAUGGUGUUUGGUGGUGUGUAACAGGGUGUAUGGUGGUGUGUAACAGGGUGUGUAACAGGGUGUGUAACAUGGUGUUUGGUGGUGUGUAACAGGGUGUAUGGUGGUGUGUAACAGGGUGUGUAACAGGGUGUGUGGUGGUGUGCAACAGGGUGUAUGGUGGUGUGUAACAGGGUGUUUGGUGGUGUGUAACAGCGUGUGUAACAGGGUGUAUGGUGGUGUGUAACAGGGUGUAUGGUGGUGUGUAACAGGGUGUAUGGUGGUGUCUAACAGGGUGUAUGGUGGUGUGUAACAGGGUGUAUGGUGGUGUGUAACAGGGUGUGUAACAGGGUGUAUGGUGGUGUGUAACAGGGUGUAUGGUGGUGUGUAACAGGGUGUAUGGUGGUGUGUAACAGGGUGUAUGGUGGUGUGUAACAGGGUGUGUAACAGGGUGUAUGGUGGUGUGUAACAGGGUGUAUGGUGGUGUGUAACAGGGUGUAUGGUGGUGUGUAACAGGGUGUAUGGUGGUGUGUAACAGGGUGUAUGGUGGUGUGUAACAGGGUGUAUGGUGGUGUGUAACAGGGUGUGUAACAGGGUGUAUGGUGGUGUGUAACAGGGUGUAUGGUGGUGUGUAACAGGCUGUAUGAUGGUGUGUAACAGGGUGUAUGGUGGUGUGUAACAGGGUGUUUGGUGGUGUGUAACAGGGUGUUUGGUGUGUAACAGGGUGUAUGAGGGUGUGUAACAUGGUGUAUGGUGGUGUGUAACAGGGUGUUUGGUGGUGUGUAACAGGGUGUAUGAGGGUGUGUAACAGGGUGUGUAACAUGGUGUAUGGUGGUGUGUAACAGGGUGGUUGGUGGUGUGUAACGUGGUGUUUGGUGGUGUGUAACAGGGUGUAUGAGGGUGUGUAACAGGGUGUGUAACAUGGUGUAUGGUGGUGUGUAACAGGGUGUAUGGUGGUGUGUAACAGGGUGUGUAACAGGGUGUAUGGUGGUGUGCAACAGGGUGUAUGGUGGUGUGCAACAGGCUGUAUGAUGGUGUGUAACAGGGUGUAUGGUGGUGUGUAACAGGGUGUAUGGUGGUGUGUAACAGGGUGUAUGGUGGUGUGUAACAGGGUGUAUGGUGGUGUGUAACAGGGUGUAUGGUGGUGUGUAACAGGGUGUGUAACAGGGUGUAUGGUGGUGUGUAACAGGGUGUAUGGUGGUGUGUAACAGGGUGUAUGGUGGUGUCUAACAGGGUGUAUGGUGGUGUGUAACAGGGUGUGUAACAGGGUGUAUGGUGGUGUGUAACAGGGUGUAUGGUGGUGUGUAACAGGGUGUGUAACAGGGUGUGUAACAGGGUGUAUGGUGGUGUGUAACAGGGUGUGUAACAGGGUGUGUAACAGGGUGUAUGGUGGUGUGUAACAGGGUGUGUAACAGGGUGUAUGGUGGUGUGUAACAGGGUGUAUGGUGGUGUGUAACAGGGUGUGUAACAGGGUGUGUAACAGGGUGUAUGGUGGUGUGUAACAGGGUGUGUAACAGGGUGUGUAACAGGGUGUAUGGUGGUGUGUAACAGUGCUCUCUCUCCUCAGUGCUGUGAUCUUCUUCUUUGUGAAGAGUGAUGUUCACAGUCAGUCCUCCAGACCAGAAGAGGAGGAGCCACUACUCAUAGACGGCUGUGUAAAUGCAGAUGGUGGGACGUCGUCUGAUGACUCGUGGGUCGACACACUAAGACAUGAGACCAAAAGACUGGUUGGUUCUCUCCUAGCUGUGGCAGCAGGUUUGUUGUACGGUACCUCAUUUGUUCCAGUUCUCUACAUUAAGAACCACGCAGCACAUCAUGACAGCCGCUUCACCGGGGCAAGCCAGUUUGAUCUGGACUAUGUGUUUGCCCAGUUCAGUGGGAUAUUCCUGACCAGUACUGUCUACUUCCUGAUCUACUGCGCUGCCAUGAAGAACACACCUAGAGUCUACCCUAGAGCAAUACUCCCUGGCUUUGUCUCUGGGGUGAUGUGGGGUAUUGCUACCUGCUGCUGGUUUCUGGCCAACACCUACCUGAGUGCUGUGGUCAGUUUCCCCAUAAUAACCACGGUGAGUAUUAAUACUACAGCGGUACUAUAUUACGACUAC